UGCGCGUGUGGCGGAAUUGGCAGACGCACUAGACUUAGGAUCUAGCGGGAGACCGUGGGGGUUCAAGUCCCUCCACGCGCAU
rnacentral:tRNA from 1 species